GUGGGGAAUAUUGGACAAUGGGCGAAAGCCUGAUCCAGCCAUGCCGCGUGUGUGAAGAAGGUCUUCGGAUUGUAAAGCACUUUAAGUUGGGAGGAAGGGCAGUAAGUUAAUACCUUGCUGUUUUGACGUUACCGACAGAAUAAGCACCGGCUAACUUCGUGCCAGCAGCCGCGGUAAUACGAAGGGUGCAAGCGUUAAUCGGAAUUACUGGGCGUAAAGCGCGCGUAGGUGGUUUUGUAAGUUGGAGGUGAAAUCCCCGGGCUCAACCUGGGAACUGCCUCCAAAACUGCAUGACUAGAGUAAGGUAGAGGGUAGUGGAAUUUCCUGUGUAGCGGUGAAAUGCGUAGAUAUAGGAAGGAACACCAGUGGCGAAGGCGACUACCUGGACUGAUACUGACACUGAGGUGCGAAAGCGUGGGGAGCAAACAGGAUUAGAAACCCGGGUAGUCC
rnacentral:rRNA from 1 species